rnacentral:ribozyme from 1 species
GCAAAGAAUACGUGCAUGAAAACAAAACAUUAGAAAAUUACAUAAAAAAUGACAAAAUCGAACAAGUAAUAUGAUGAACCUUCCGAAGCGGUUUGCUUUCUCUUUCUCUUUCUUUUUA